UCUGGGUCCAACCUCCCACCCGUGUUUAUUUUACCUUGUUGCUUCGGCGGGCCCGCCUUAACUGGCCGCCGGGGGGCUCACGCCCCCGGGCCCGCGCCCGCCGAAGACACCCUCGAACUCUGUCUGAAGAUUGAAGUCUGAGUGAAAAUAUAAAUUAUUUAAAACUUUCAACAACGGAUCUCUUGGUUCCGGCAUCGAUGAAGAACGCAGCGAAAUGCGAUACGUAAUGUGAAUUGCAAAUUCAGUGAAUCAUCGAGUCUUUGAACGCACAUUGCGCCCCCUGGUAUUCCGGGGGGCAUGCCUGUCCGAGCGUCAUUGCUGCCCUCAAGCCCGGCUUGUGUGUUGGGCCCCGUCCUCCGAUUUCCGGGGGACGGGCCCGAAAGGCAGCGGCGGCACCGCGUCCGGUCCUCGAGCGUAUGGGGCUUUGUCACCCGCUCUGUAGGCCCGGCCGGCGCUUGCCGAUCAACCCAAAUUUUUUAUCCAGGUUGACCUCGGAUCAGGUAGGGAUACCCGCUGAACUUAAGCAUAUCAAUAAGCGGAGGAA
rnacentral:rRNA from 1 species